rnacentral:rRNA from 1 species
UACGUAGGGAGCGAGCGUUGUCCGGAUUCAUUGGGCGUAAAGAGCUCGUAGGCGGUCUGUCGCGUCUGCUGUGAAAAUCCAGGGCUCAACCCUGGACCUGCAGUGGGUACGGGCAGACUAGAGUGCGGUAGGGGAGAUCGGAAUUCCUGGUGUAGCGGUGAAAUGCGCAGAUAUCAGGAGGAACACCGGUGGCGAAGGCGGAUCUCUGGGCCGUAACUGACGCUGAGGAGCGAAAGCAUGGGGAGCGAACAGG